rnacentral:rRNA from 1 species
AGUGACACUGCGCCGAAAAUGUACCGGGGCUAAACAUAUUACCGAAGCUGUGGAUUGUCCUUUGGACAAUGGUAGGAGAGCGUUCUAAGGGCGUUGAAGCAUGAUCGUAAGGACAUGUGGAGCGCUUAGAAGUGAGAAUGCCGGUGUGAGUAGCGAAAGACGGGUGAGAAUCCCGUCCACCGAUUGACUAAGGUUUCCAGAGGAAGGCUCGUCCGCUCUGGGUUAGUCGGGUCCUAAGCUGAGGCCGACAGGCGUAGGCGAUGGAUAACAGGUUGAUAUUCCUGUACCACCUAUAAUCGUUUUAAUCGAUGGGGGGACGCAGUAGGAUAGGCGAAGCGUGCGAUUGGAUUGCACGUCUAAGCAGUAAGGCUGAGUAUUAGGCAAAUCCGGUACUCGUUAAGGCUGAGC